rnacentral:misc_RNA from 1 species
UCGAGCUCACUGGUGAGGGCCCAUCCCCCAGAUUCUCAGUAGCUGGGGAUUGUUUAGAUCCACAUGUGGGAGGUACUCUUGUAUUGAUAGGUGGUUGUAAUAACACACUUCAACCCUUGGAGGACAUGUAUUAUCUACAAACAGGCAUUGUUAGAGAGGAUGAACGAGACGAAAGAAGGAUAGCGAAAUUGUCUUUGAGAAAGCAAUUGAAGCUGAAAUGCCAGAAGCAACAAGCUUCAGCUUCUCCCGGCGA